rnacentral:rRNA from 1 species
GACGAACGCUGGCGGCGUGCCUAAUACAUGCAAGUCGAGCGAUGACGCUUGGUGCUUGCACCAAUUUGAAGAGCAGCGAACGGGUGAGUAACGCGUGGGUAACCUGCCCUUGAGCGGGGGAUAACAUUCGGAAACGGAUGCUAAUACCGCAUAACAACUUUAAACGUAAGUUUUAAGGUUGAAAGAAGCCACUGCCUCACUCAAAGAUGAUCCCGCGUUGUAUUAGCUAGAUGGUGAGGUAAAAGCUCACCAAGGCGAUGAUACAUAGCCGACCUGAGAGGGUUGUCGGCCACAAUGGGACUGGGACACGGCCCAAACCUCCACGGGGGGCAGCAGGAGGGAAACUUCGGCCAUUGACGGAAGUCUGACCGGGCAACGCCGCGGGAGGGAGGGAGGGUUUCGGGUCGUAAAACUCUUUUUGUAGGGAAGAAAGUAGGGGUGGGGGAAAAGCUCGUCAAGUGACGGUAACUACCCAGAAAGCGACGGCUAACUACGUG